UUUAAAUUUAAAGACUAUUUUAGGCAGGAUGUCUAAGACGUAAAACUAUGUCUCAAUUAUUCAGACAUAAUAUAUGCAUUUUUAAACCUUGUCUAGAAAGAACAUCAUUAGAAAAACCAGCCCAACAGUAUUCCAUACAGGAAAAAAUAAGGGAUUUGUAGAGUUAGAGAAUAGAAUCAGGGUUAAGAAAAUGGUGAAUGCAAUAUAGAAAAGCAACCUUAGAACAUGCUAACUUAACAAUCAAUUGUAUGCAUGGUUUCCAUGAGAGGUUAUUAGUGAACAAUAAUCUAAGAAGGUUAAAGAAGAGAACUCAGUGAGAGGGUCACCAUUUAUCAAUAUAGGAAUGUUGACAGUAUUGGGAUAAUUGUUUGUUGUAAAUAACUGAGUUUUGUUGGACUUAAAAUUUACAAGACUAAAUUUACUUGGCUCGGAACUGACAAGAAAGAAUAAAAUCUUCAAAUCCCUGCUUGGAUCCACGAGGUUAUGUAGGAAGGAUAUAUUAGCGGAGAGAGAAAAGACAUCAGCCUAAGGACAGCCUUAAGAAAAUAAUCCCAGUCAGCUUUAGGGUAGUAGUAAGUAGUUCGGUGAUAGAAUGAGUUCAAAGGAGAAAUACAAGAGGAAAGAUUUAUAAAGAUAAUUGCAUGGCAGAACCACUUAAAGGAGAAAAAGAAGAAACUGACAAGACAUGACUUAUAAGACAAGACCCAAAUUAAGGAGUUAAGAUAAGUAAAGAGAAAGGAUAUUGUCAAUAUGAUCAGAAAUUAUGUAAUUUUAGAUGAAUAUCUUUUAGAUGUACAUUUAAAAGAGUGCUGUCUUGAGAAAAAGGAAAACAAUAAAAAACAAUUAGAAAGGUGAUCAAGUGGAGAGGUGCUAAGCGGAAGCACAUAAAAGAAUGGUCAAGUGAUUCAAACGUGACUUUAUGACAAAUAGGUGUGUAAUAUCCGUGUUCGGCAUAAUACACACAUGCCUCGUGUUAUUAUUAUUACUUGAAAUAAAUAUGGCGGUUUGCACGCUUUAAACUAUGUUGUAUUUAGUUCUUAGUAUAACAUCAUCCUCAGAAUAUUACAUGGUACCAGAAGUAAACCUGUGUUUUAAAUAAAAUGGAACAACUUAGACCAUUAGAGGCCAUGAAUUUAAAUGGCAAUGUUUCAGAAAACUGGCGAAAAUGGAAACAGAGAUGGAAUCUUUAUAAAAUAGCUUCAGGAGUCAAUGACAAGAAUGAAGAUAUCCAAUGUGCCACCUUUCUUCGUAUGAUUGGCGAGGACGCUUUAAGAGUAUAUGAUACAUUUGUUUUCACUAUCAAAGAGAACGAUAAAUUAGCACCUUUAGUUCAAAAGUUUGAAUGUUAUUUCAGCCCCAAAAAAAACAUAACUUAUGAACGUUAUUUAUUCAAUACAUGUAUGCAAGACAGCAGACUAUUUACUGACUUCUUAAUCGAUUUACGGAAUAAAGCUAAAACCUGCAAGUUUGGAACCCUCGAAGAAAGCCUAACACGUGACAGAGUAGUCUGUGGAAUUGACUCUAAAGCUGCAAGAGAACGACUACUUAGAGACACUGAGCUUACUCUAGAGAAAACAAUCAGUUUCAUGAGAGCAUAUGAAACAUCAAAAACACAAUUAAAAGCCCUUGAAAAUACAAUCCAGGCAGAUUCUAUAAAUAAUCAAAUAUAAAAAAUCGUGUAGACCAAGUUGAUCAAAAGGAAGUCAACCUCAACGUUGCAGAGUUAUAUAUUCAUCAUGUGGAAUGUCCUGACGAUUUAACAACAAAUAUUACAGUCAACAACAAAAAUAUAACAUUUAAAUUAGAUACUGGAGCCCAAUGUAACGUUAUUCCAUACAACAUCUACAACUCUAUUCCUGGAAGAUCUCCUCUCAAAAAAACAAUAACUCAACUAAAAUCAUAUGGUGGAAACAAUAUUCCUGUACUAGGAAUAUGCAACCUAACUAUAAAAAAGAAUAACAUUUCACAAGUGUGUCAGUUUUUUGUUGUAUCUCUGUCUGACGUAAAACCACUUCUUGGUCUAAGUUCUUGCAAAUCUCUUGAAAUACUAAACAUUAACAAUGUUGAAAUAGAUAAAACUAACAUCUUAAAACAUUAUAGUGAUGUUUUUACCGGCCUUGGUUUAGUUAAAGGAAACUAUCAUAUCGCACUUGCUAGAGAUGCAAUCCCAGUCAUUCAUGCACCAAGGAAAGUACCAAUGACUGUUCUACCUAAACUUAAAAGCACACUUGAUCUUCUAGUAAAAGCCACAGUUAUCUCAAAAAUUUCUAAACCGACACCUUGGGUACACUCAAUGGUCAUCGUAGAGAAAAAAGAUCGAUCCUUAAGAUUAUGCAUUGAUCCGAAAGAACUAAACAAGUCUGUUCUAAGACAAUACAAAACCACUCCAUCUACAUAAGAAAUCUCUAGCAAACUUUGCGGCAACAAAGUUUUCACUGUUAUAAACAUGGCUGAUUGCUAUUGGCAUAUAAAACUAGAUGAACCUUCCUCAGAGCUAUGCACAUUUAACACUCCUUAUGGCCGAUACAAAUUCAACCGCAUGCCAUUUGGCAUAUCAUGCGCAUCGGAUGCUGCACAAGAGAUGAUUGAACUUAAUUUCGGUGAUAUCCCUAAUGUUCUGGCUAUCCACGAUGACUUGAUUAUUGGAGCUAAAACAGAUACAGAGCAUGAUAAAAUUUUCCAACAAAUUCUACAACAAGCUCGUGGAAGAAACAUCAAAUUCAACCUAAAAAAAAUACAAUUUCGAGUAUCUGAGGUCAAGUAUCUUGGCAACAUAAUCAGCCAUGAAGGCAUAAGAGUUGAUCCUGAAAAAACUAAAGCCAUAUCUGCAUACCCAUUGCCUGCAUGUCAAGCAGAUUUGCAAUGGCUCUUAGGUGGUCAACUACCUGCAACAAUUCAUCCCAAAUAUGUCAGAGAUAACAGCUCCCCUCCGCCAGCUGCUUAGAAAAGACAUACACUGGUCAUGGAACCAUGAACAUACCAGUGCUAUGGAAAAAAUUAAACAGGUUCUUUCAUCUUCUCCUGUACUCUCAUUUUUCGACACGUCAAAAGAUGUUCAAAUUCAGGUAGACGCAUCUUCACAUGGGUUAGGAGCCUGUAUUAUGCAAGAAGGUCACCCGAUCAGCUAUACUUCUCGUAGUCUAACCAUAGCAGAACAGAGAUAUGCCCAGAUAGAGAAAGAACUUUUAGCAAUAGUUUUUGCUUGUGAACGUUUCAACCAAUAUACCUAUAGGCGACAGGUCUCAAUAGAAAGUGAUCACAAACCUCUUGAAUAUAUCUUGCACAAGCCACUGUCAGAAGCACCACCUCGCAUACAAAGACUUCUGAUAAGACUCCAAAAAUAUCAAGUUAUAGUAAAAUAUGUUCCAGGAAAAGAUCUACACAUUGCAGACUCUUUAUCACGUGCUCACCUCAACAUUUUUGACGAGGAUGAUAGCCUAAAUGAGGACUGCAGCGUUAUGAUCCACACUUUAGUUCAAAAUUUGCCAAUAUCAACAGAUAGACUAAAACAAUUGCAGCACAACACUAAACUUGACCCUGUGCUCUCUCAAAUAACAAACUAUAUAACUUAUGGUUGGCCCCGAAACCGACAAAUGCUCUGUGGUAAAGAAAAGAAAUAUUGGACCAUCAGAACUUACACAUAGCAGAGGUAAUAAUUUUAAAAGAAAAUAAAAUAGUCAUACCAACUGAUAUGAGACCCCUUAUAUUAACACAGCUUCACUUAUCACACCUUGGCACCGAAAAGACGAAAGCUAGAGCUCGAAACGUUGUUUACUGUCCAGGACUUACAAGCGACAUUGAUAAACUAAUACUUAAUAGCCAUAAAUGGCUUAAAUACCGUAAUAACAACAAAAAGGAAAAAAUCAUUCAACACGACAUUCCUGACUUACCGAGGAGUAAAGUAGGAUCAGACAUAUAUGAGUUGCAUGGAAAAAUCUAUGUAAUUGUUAUAGACUACUUUUCUAAAUUUAUAGAAAACAGUGUCAUUCCUGACAAAACGGCAUUUUCUGUAAUCAAAUUUAUAAAAACCAUAUUUACUCGUCACGGAAUACCUUCAAGUCUCAUUGCCAAUAACAACCCCUACAACAGUGCAGAAUUCCUUAACUUCUUAAAAGAAUAUGGGUUUAACUUCACUCCAUCAAGUCCAAACUAUCCCCAAUCAAAUGGUCUCAAUGAAAUGGGCGUAAAAAUUAUAAAGAAAAUAUUAAAAAAAUGUGACAACCCUGAGCUUGGUCUUCUAGAAUACCUCAACAUGCCUCUCACUGGUAUGGACUACUCCCCAUCCCAACUUCUCAUGAACAGAAGAACGCGAACAACCCUACCUGUCCACCAUGACUUACUUAUACCAGCAGUUCCUGUAAAUGCUUAUAGUCGGAUCACCAAGUCCAGAAAUCAUCAAAAACAAUACUAUGAUCGAAACGCAUCUGAACUCCCAAAUCUCGUAGCAAACGACACUGCCCGUAUGAGAAAAGAUGGAAAAUGGAAGAAAGUGACAGUUAAAGAAAAAUUAACAUUACCCAGAUCAUACAACGUGGUUGAUAAGUACGGAAGAGUAUAUCGACGCAAUCGUAAACAUCUGAUUAAAACCAAUGAGCAACCACUAGUAUAUCAGCAUGAACAACUUGAUUUGCCAUACGAUUUACCGGCUGUUAACACACCUACAUCAAAUGAGGAAACAGCAAACAACAAAAUAGAAGUUACGUGUAUUCCUGAAACUCUAUCGGCUGAACCGCAGCCUGACUUGCGAAGAUCUCUAAGGACUAAAAACAGAUCUGCCUAUUGAGAGACUUCAUUUAACAGUGUAUAUUAUAAAGAACUUGUUUAGCUAUAUGAUAAAUAUACACAUCUUUAAACUUUAAAAAAAAAAAAAAAAAAAAAAAAAAAAAAAAUUUAAGAAGGAAGAUGUAAUAUCCCUGUUCGGCAUAAUACACACAUGUCUCGUGUUAUUAUUAUUACUUGAAAUAAAUAUGGCGGUUUGCAUGCUUUAAACUUUGUUGUAUUUAGUUCUUAGUAUAACAUCAUCCUCAGAAUAUUACAGGUGAAUUAAUGCAUAAGUAUAUCCCCUAGGCAAGCAUGUGAUUAUUGGAGUCUUUGCAAAUUAAGGGAUAGAACCUAUCAACAUUUAGAUCUAAAAAAGGAACAGUGCAAUUUAAAUUAGUCUUACAGAGAUCAAGCAAGUCUUGUGAAUUUUGUAAGAGGAAGAAUUCAACUGAUAGAAGGAUAAAAUCUGUUUGUUGAGUGAAUUGUUUAUGAACAUGUGUUCUUCAAUCAACAACGAUGGUGUCUUUUAUUGCGGAGAAGUGAGUAUAGGCGCUAAAUAUGUGCCAGAUAAAAGUAUCUUGCAGCUGAAAGUUAUA